UGGGGAAUUUUGGACAAUGGGCGAAAGCCUGAUCCAGCAAUGCCGCGUGUGUGAAGAAGGCCUUCGGGUUGUAAAGCACUUUUGUCCGGAAAGAAAUCCUCUGGGUUAAUACCUCGGGGGGAUGACGGUACCGGAAGAAUAAGCACUGGCUAACUACGUGCCAGCAGCCGCGGUAAUACGUAGGGUGCAAGCGUUAAUCGGAAUUACUGGGCGUAAAGCGUGCGCAGGCGGUUUUGUAAGACGGAUGUGAAAUCCCCGGGCUUAACCUGGGAACUGCAUUCGUGACUGCAAGGCUAGAGUAUGGCAGAGGGGGGUAGAAUUCCACGUGUAGCAGUGAAAUGCGUAGAGAUGUGGAGGAAUACCGAUGGCGAAGGCAGCCCCCUGGGCCAAUACUGACGCUCAUGCACGAAAGCGUGGGGAGCAAACAGGAUUAGAUACCCUGGUAGUCCACGCCCUAAACGAUGUCAACUAGUUGUUGGGGAUUCAUUUCCUUAGUAACGUAGCUAACGCGUGAAGUUGACCGCCUGGGGAGUACGGUCGCAAGAUUAAAACUCAAAAGGAAUUGACGGGGUCAUAGCUGUUUCCUG
rnacentral:rRNA from 1 species